rnacentral:rRNA from 1 species
AUACGUAGGUGGCAAGCGUUGUCCGGAUUUACUGGGCGUAAAGGAUGUGUAGGCGGAUAUUUAAGUGAGAUGUGAAAUCCCCGGGCUUAACUUGGGGGCUGCAUUUCAAACUGGAUGUCUAGAGUGCAGGAGAGGAGAAUGGAAUUCCUAGCGUAGCGGUGAAAUGCGUAGAGAUUAGGAAGAACACCAGUGGCGAAGGCGAUUCUCUGGACUGUAACUGACACUGAGGCACGAAAGCGUGGGUAGC